UCCGCCAUGAAGCGGAAUCUGAAGGAAGCUUAAGGCAAAGUUCCGCCCCGAGGAACACGAAUCAUAUCAGGCAUACCCGUCGGGACGAGACUGCAAAACAAGUCAAAGUCCAAAGAUUACACGGACGUCGGGGUGUAAAUAUGGCGGAGACAUGGAAUGAAAGUUAACUGC
rfam:Petrimonas mucosa isolate ING2-E5A genome assembly, chromosome: I